rnacentral:rRNA from 1 species
AUUGAACGCUGGCGGCAGGCCUAACACAUGCAAGUCGAACGAGUGGCGGACGGGUGAGUAAUGUCUGGGAAACUGCCUGAUGGAGGGGGAUAACUACGGGAAACGGUAGCUAAUACCGCAUACCAUCGGCUUUGCCCAGAUGGGAUUAGCUAGGAGGUGGGGUAACGGCUCACCUAGGCGGCGAGCCCUAGCUGGUCUGAGAGGAUGACCAGCCACACUGGUACUGAGACACGGUCCAGAAUCCUACGGGCGGCAGCAGUGGGGAAUAUUGCGCAAUGGGCGCAAGCCUGCUGCAGCCAUGCCGCGUGUAUGAAGAAGGCCUUCGGGUUGUAAAGUACUUUCAGCGGGGAGGCGUUACUCGCCGAAGAAGCACCGGCUAACUCCGUGCCAGCAGCCGCGGUAAUUC